rnacentral:rRNA from 1 species
UACGUAGGUGGCAAGCGUUGUCCGGAUUUACUGGGCGUAAAGAGCGCGCAGGCGGUCGUGCAAGUCGCGUGUGAAAGCCCCCGGCUCAACUGGGGAGGGUCACGCGAUACUGUUCGACUCGAAGGCAGGAGAGGGAAGCGGAAUUCCCGGUGUAGUGGUGAAAUGCGUAGAUAUCGGGAGGAACACCAGUGGCGAAGGCGGCUUCCUGGCCUGUUUCUUGACGCUGAGGCGCGAAGCUAGGGGAGCAAACGGG